rnacentral:lncRNA from 1 species
CAAAAGUAAUUCAAAAAGUAAAAGUGGUUUAGUUUGUGUUGUGGGGGUUGUUAGGGGCUAAAUUCACUCCUCCAUUGCGUUUACUAACCUCUGCUUGAAAAGUAUCUGUACACGGAUACCUACAGGUCUCAUUUGGCUUGUGUGUAUUUGGUACAGCAGGUUCUUCUACAGGCUUGUCUGCCCAAAAUCGUGGACAGGGAACUCAGCUCUUCUGGCUGUUAUCCAAACUAUCAAGGUGCGAAGCAGCUCCAGCCCAGCACUGGGACCACUCCGUGCAGUGCUGUGCGGGACAGUAAAUCACUUCCACGCAACUACUUAGUUUUCUGGUCAGAACAGAUGAUUUGUGUUUGACUGCUCAGCUCUUGCACAACACAACUCUGUAAUCGUGCCUUUGGCUUUCUUUAUGUUUUAGAUCAGGGUUUUUGUAUCAUUUUAUGUCUUCAAAAAGAUUUCUGACCCUUCUUGCACAUAGUGUCUUUUCCACAAUUUUGAUACACAGACAUAAGAUAAAGGACAAUAUUUGUUGUCCUUUAGAGUCCUGUGGGCUUAUCCAUAUUUAUUAAAAAAGAAAAUUGCCAGAGCUGCAAGUAUAACACUAGAUAACGAUAUGACCCUAUGCCUUAGCUCUUCAGGAAAUUGGUUUCCAACACAGUCUCAUAUUUUCUGAAAUGACAUCUUAUACAACAUCAAGUAUUUCAGGAGAGAACUGAAGGCUUAAACCUGCCAUGGUGCAAAACAUCUGGUGAAGACUUGAAAUAAAUGCUAGUCAUGUUUGAUCAAAGUAUUUACAGCACACUUGAGAUUCCUUGUUUUGUUUUUCUCCCAAACUUUUAAUUUUCUUACCAUGUCUUUUUUUCUUUUUCAGGUAAUAUGUUUUCCUUUUACUUCUCAAUAGCCAUAUUCUGAGCUCUGGCAAUGACUGCUUUCUUUUACAUUUUGAUAGAGUACUGAGGACAGAUAUGGUUGCAGCCUCCCCAAGACUCCACACAGAAUCAUCCACCAAAGUACAGCUGCCUGUCAUCUUCAACACAGUAACAGAUCAGACAUUCCAGGAAGGACAGGAAAAACAGACUUCUCCAGUCAAAGAUCAAUGACAAACUCAGAGCAGAAGUAGAUUUGUUCCCAGUAAGAAGGUACUACCUUCUUUUCCUUCCUUGGCAAUUUUCCUUCAGAAGAAUCAGUCACUGACUUCCUGGGGUUAUAUUUUCAGAGAUUUCCCUUUGAUCCUAAGAAUGUACUGGAAGCUGAUCCAACCAUAGUUAGUGUUCUCUUUUCUGGAUUAUUUAUGUGAGGCCACUGGGAGAAUUGGUGUAUUCAUUUCUCUGGCUUUUACUUUCUAUAGAUCUCAGCCUUGGAGAGCAUCUUGGAGAGCAUCUUGG